AUUGAACGCUGGCGGCAUGCCUUACACAUGCGAGUCGAACGGCAGCACGGGAGCAAUCCUGGUGGCGAGUGGCGAACGGGUGAGUAAAGUAUCGGAACGUGCCCAGUCGUGGGGGAUAACGUAGCGAAAGUUACGCUAAUACCGCAUACGAUCUAUGGAUGAAAGCGGGGGAUCGCAAGACCUCGCGCGAUUGGAGCGGCCGAUAUCAGAUUAGGUAGUUGGUGGGGUAAAGGCUCACCAAGCCGACGAUCUGUAGCUGGUCUGAGAGGACGACCAGCCACACUGGGACUGAGACACGGCCCAGACUCCUACGGGAGGCAGCAGUGGGGAAUUUUGGACAAUGGGCGAAAGCCUGAUCCAGCCAUGCCGCGUGCAGGAUGAAGGCCUUCGGGUUGUAAACUGCUUUUGUACGGAACGAAAAGGUUUGGCCUAAUAAGCUGAGCUCAUGACGGUACCGUAAGAAUAAGCCCGGCUAACUACGUGCCAGCAGCCGCCGUAA
rnacentral:rRNA from 1 species